rnacentral:rRNA from 1 species
UAGGGAAUCUUCCACAAUGGACGAGAGUCUGAUGGAGCAACGCCGCGUGAGUGAAGAAGGGUUUCGGCUCGUAAAACUCUGUUGUUAAAGAAGAACAUAUCUGAGAGUAACUGUUCAGGUAUUGACGGUAUUAACCAGAAAGCCACGGCUAACUACGUGCCAC